rnacentral:rRNA from 1 species
UCUAGCUUGCUAGAAGAUGACGAGUGGCGGACGGGUGAGUAAUGCUUGGGAACUUGCCUUCGGGAGGGGGAUAACAGUUGGAAACGACUGCUAAUACCGCAUAACGUCUACGGACCAAAGGGGGCUUCGGCUCCCACCUGAAGAGAGGCCCAAGUGAGAUUAGCUAGUUGGUAAGGUAAAGGCUUACCAAGGCGACGAUCUCUAGCUGUUCUGAGAGGAAGAUCAGCCACACUGGGACUGAGACACGGCCCAGACUCCUACGGGAGGCAGCAGUGGGGAAUAUUGCACAAUGGGGGAAACCCUGAUGCAGCCAUGCCGCGUGUGUGAAGAAGGCCUUCGGGUUGUAAAGCACUUUCAGUUGUGAGGAAAGGUUGGUAGUUAAUACCUGCCAGCUGUGACGUUAACAACAGAAGAAGCACCGGCUAACUCCGUGCCAGCAGCCGCGGUAAUACGGAGGGUGCGAGCGUUAAUCGGAAUUACUGGGCGUAAAGCGCACGCAGGCGGUUUGUUAAGCUAGAUGUGAAAGCCCCGGGCUCAACCUGGGAUGGUCAUUUAGAACUGGCAGACUAGAGUCUUGGAGAGGGGAGUGGAAUUCCAGGUGUAGCGGUGAAAUGCGUAGAUAUCUGGAGGAACAUCAGUGGCGAAGGCGGCUCCCUGGCCAAAGACUGACGCUCAUGUGCGAAAGUGUGGGUAGCGAACAGGAUUAGAUACCCUGGUAGUCCACACCGUAAACGCUGUCUACUAGCUGUUUGUGAAUUUAAUUCGUGAGUAGCGAAGCUAACGCGCUAAGUAGACCGCCUGGGGAGUACGGCCGCAAGGUUAAAACUCAAAUGAAUUGACGGGGGCCCGCACAAGCGGUGGAGCAUGUGGUUUAAUUCGAUGCAACGCGAAGAA